GUGCUUGCUUCAGCAGCACACAUACUAAAAUUGGAACGACACAGAGAAGAUUAGCAUGGCCUCUGUGCAAGAAUGAUACACAGAUGCAUAGUGCUCCAUAUUUUA